UAGCUCAGUUGGUAGAGCAGUUGACUUUUAAUCAAUUGGUCGCAGGUUCGAAUCC
rnacentral:tRNA from 19 species